UACAGAGGUCUCAAGCGUUGUUCGGAUUCAUUGGGCGUAAAGGGUGCGUAGGCGGCGGGGCAAGUCGGAUGUGAAAUCUCAGGGCUCAACCCUGAAACUGCAUUCGAUACUGCCUUGCUCGAGGACUGGAGAGGAGAUUGGAAUUCACGGUGUAGCAGUGAAAUGCGUAGAUAUCGUGAGGAAGACCAGUGGCGAAGGCGGAACUCUGGACAGUUCCUGACGCUGAGGCACGAAGGCCAGGGGAGCAAACGGG
rnacentral:rRNA from 1 species